rnacentral:tRNA from 1 species
AGGAGUGUAGCUCAGUGGUAGAGCACUUGCCUAACAUUGUGUGGCCCUGCGUCAAUCACUGGCACUUAAGAAAUAAAAAAGAACAACCCAGGCAAUAAACAAAGGGGCCUCUCCUUUUAUUCUUA